rnacentral:rRNA from 1 species
GAUGAACGCUGGCGGCGUGCCUAAUACAUGCAAGUCGAGCGAACAGACGAGGAGCUUGCUCCUCUGACGUUAGCGGCGGACGGGUGAGUAACACGUGGAUAACCUACCUAUAAGACUGGGAUAACUUCGGGAAACCGGAGCUAAUACCGGAUAAUAUAUUGAACCGCAUGGUUCAAUAGUGAAAGACGGUUUUGCUGUCACUUAUAGAUGGAUCCGCGCCGCAUUAGCUAGUUGGUAAGGUAACGGCUUACCAAGGCAACGAUGCGUAGCCGACCUGAGAGGGUGAUCGGCCACACUGGAACUGAGACACGGUCCAGACUCUUACGGGAGGCAGCAGUAGGGAAUCUUCCGCACUGGGCGAAAGCCUGACGGAGCAACGCCGCGUGAGUGAUGAAGGUCUUCGGAUCGUAAAACUCUGUUAUUAGGGAAGAACAAAUGUGUAAGUAACUAUGCACGUCUUGACGGUACCUAAUCAGAAAGCCGCGGCUAACUACGUG